AUCGUUUACGGCUAGGACUACCGGGGUAUCUUANUCCGGUUUCGUGGCCCUAGCUUUCGUCCCUUCACCGUCGGACCCGUUCUUAGCAAGACGCCUUCGCCCACUGGCGGUUCCNUCAAGGAUUACAAGGAUUUCACUCCUACCCUUAAGGUACUUCUUGCUUCUCCCGGUCCCAAAGACCAACCAGUAUCCAUUGGCAGCCUUACGGGUUAAAGCCGUAAGAUUUCCCAAGGGACUAACUGGUCCGGCUACGGACCCUUUAAGCCCAAUAAUAGCGGCCACCACUCGAGCCGCCGGUGUUACCGCGGCGGCUGGCACCGGUCUUGCCCGGCUCUUAUUCCACAUGCUUUUUAGGCGUAUGAAAAGCGUACGCAUUGCGCACGCACUCGAGGUCCCCUUAUCGCGCUUUCGCGCAGUGUAAAGUUUUCGCGCCUGCUGCGCCCCGUAGGACCUGGAUUCGUGUCUCAGAAUCCAUCUCCGGGCUCUUGCUCUCACAACCCGUACCGAUUAUCGGCUUGUUGGGACGUUACCCCAGCAACUACCUAAUCGGCCGCAGACCCAUCCUCAGACGCUAAAGCUUUAAACCGUAAGGCAUUCCAGCGUUCACGGAUUAUCCGGUAUUAUCUCCAGUUUCCCGGAGUUAUCCCAGAUCUGAGGGUAGGUUGUCCACGUGUUACUGAGCCGUAAGGGCGAAUUCCAGCACACUGGCGGCCGUUACUAGUGGAUCCAAGCUCGGUACCGAGCUUGG
rnacentral:rRNA from 1 species